rnacentral:rRNA from 1 species
UGCAUAUCAAUAAGCGGAGGAAAAGAAACCAACAGGGAUUGCCUCAGUAACGGCGAGUGAAGCGGCAAAAGCUCAAAUUUGAAACCCUCGGGAUUGUAAUUUGAAGAUUUGGCAUUGGAGAAAGCUAACCCAAGUUGCUUGGAAUAGUACGUCAUAGAGGGUGACAACCCCGUCUGGCUAACCGUUCUCCAUGUAUUGCCUUAUCAAAGAGUCGAGUUGUUUGGGAAUGCAGCUCAAAGUGGGUGGUAAACUCCAUCUAAAGCUAAAUACUGGUGAGAGACCGAUAGCGAACAAGUACUGUGAAGGAAAGGUGAAAAGAACUUUGAAAAGAGAGUGAAAUAGUAUGUGAAAUUGUUGAUAGGGAAGGAAAUGAGUGGAGAGUGGCCGAGGUUUCAGCCGCCCCUCGUGGGCGGUGUACUGCCGACGCCGAGUCAUCGAUAGCGAGACGAGGGUUACAAAUGGGAGCGCCUUUCGGGCGUUCUCCCCUAACCCUCCACACUGCCACCGACGACAUAAUCCACCCAUUUCACCCGUCUUGAAACACGGAC